rnacentral:rRNA from 1 species
CACGUAGGGGGCAAGCGUUGUCCGGAUUUAUUGGGCGUAAAGAGCUCGUAGGCGGCUUAGUAAGUCGGGUGUGAAACCUCCAGGCUCAACCUGGAGACGCCACCCGAUACUGCUGCGGCUAGAGUCCGGUAGGGGAGCGUGGAAUUCCUGGUGUAGCGGUGAAAUGCGCAGAUAUCAGGAGGAACACCAGCGGCGAAGGCGGCGCUCUGGGCCGGUACUGACGCUGAGGAGCGAAAGCGUGGGGAGCAAACAGG